rnacentral:rRNA from 1 species
AACGAACGCUGGCGGCAGGCCUAACACAUGCAAGUCGAACGGGGCAGCAAUGCCUAGUGGCGGACGGGUGAGGAAUACGUAGGAAUCUGCCCUUAAGUGGGGGAUAACCAGGGGAAACCCUGACUAAUACCGCAUGAUCUCUUCGGAGCAAAGAGGGGGACCGCAAGGCCUCUCGCUUCUGGAUGAGCCUACGUCUGAUUAGCUAGUUGGUAGGGUAAAGGCCUACCAAGGCGACGAUCAGUAACUGGUCUGAGAGGAUGAUCAGUCACACCGGAGCUGAGACACGGUCCGGACUCCUACGGGAGGCAGCAGUGGGGAAUAUUGGACAAUGUGCGCAAGCCUGAUCCAGCAAUGCCGCGUGUGUGAAGAAGGCCUUCGGGUUGUAAAGCACUUUAGCCUGGAAAGAAAAAACUUUGGUUAACACCCAAAGUCUUGACGGUACCAGGAGAAUAAGCACCGGCUAACUCUGUGCCAGCAGCCGCGGUAACAC